rnacentral:misc_RNA from 1 species
AGAUUUCAGUCCAUCCAUCAGAGUUAAGAGUUGUGAGACAAUCCUCCUUUCAACUUCACCAUGUGUCUUCUCUCGCUUGGGAGCAAUUGAAUCAAUUUCAUCAAUAAAUAUGAUAGAAGGAGCAUUCUUUUCAGCCUCUUCGAAUGCCUUUCUAAGAUUACUUUCACUCUCUCCAGCCAACUUGGACAUGAUUUCAGGUCCAUUAAUGCAAAAGAAAAAU